rnacentral:lncRNA from 11 species
CCUGGGAGCAGAGGGCUUUUGCCACUCCAAUGAAGUGAGAUAAGCCUCUUUACAAAAGUGGGGAGGUGGAGCCUUUUCAACAGAUUGUUACUCCCAAUUUUAGCUCCUGCAUGCAAGCUUGGACAUUGAUUUGAGAAGUUGCUGCUGCCCAGAGGUCCCUGAUCAAGGAAAAGCUGUCUCCUUCUCCCUUCCACCGGACUGUAAGAAGUGGGUGGUGGAGGGAGAGGAGAAUGUGGUGACAGCAGCAGCAACAGUGUCCAGCCCCCUCAUGGGCAUUUGUUUAGCCCUGCAGAUGGCUUCUGGUGAUUCAGGCGCUUUUGGAUUUGGUAUUUAUUUCAAACCAGCCAGAUGCAGGUGUUUCAGGAAUGUCCAACUGUGCC